rnacentral:rRNA from 1 species
GACGAACGCUGGCGGCGUGCUUAACACAUGCAAGUCGAACGGAAAGGCCCUGCUUUUGUGGGGUGCUCGAGUGGCGAACGGGUGAGUAACACGUGAGUAACCUGCCCUUGACUUUGGGAUAACUUCAGGAAACUGGGGCUAAUACCGGAUAGGAGCUCCUGCUGCAUGGUGGGGGUUGGAAAGUUUCGGCGGUUGGGGCUGGACUCGCGGCUUAUCAGCUUGUUGGUGGGGUAGUGGCUUACCAAGGCUUUGACGGGUAGCCGGCCUGAGAGGGUGACCGGCCUCAUUGGGACUGAGAUACGGCCCAGACGCCUACGGGAGGCAGCAGUGGGGAAUAUUGCACAAUGGGCGGAAGCCUGAUGCAGCAACGCCGCGUGCGGGAUGACGGCCUUCGGGUUGUAAACCGCUUUCGCCUGUGACGAAGCGUGAGUGACGGUAAUGGGUAAAGAAGCACCGGCUAACUACGUG